UUAUGGGCAGCGUUGGGGACAGGUGGCCGGACAAGGUUCCGGGGCCCUCCCUGCGAGUCGUAGAUGGGCUCCUCUGUCGCUGCUGUCA
ensembl:misc_RNA